rnacentral:rRNA from 1 species
UACGUAGGGUGCAAGCGUUGUCCGGAAUCAUUGGGCGUAAAGAGCUCGUAGGCGGUGUGUCACGUCGGCCGUGAAAACUUGCAGCUUAACUGUGGGCGUGCGGUCGAUACGGGCAUCACUGGAGUUCGGCAGGGGAGACUGGAAUUCCUGGUGUAGCGGUGAAAUGCGCAGAUAUCAGGAGGAACACCGGUGGCGAAGGCGGGUCUCUGGGCCGAUACUGACGCUGAGGAGCGAAAGCGUGGGGAGCAAACAGG